rnacentral:rRNA from 1 species
AAUCCUGGUGGCGAGUGGCGAACGGGUGAGUAAUAUAUCGGAACGUGCCCGGUCGUGGGGGAUAACGUAGCGAAAGCUACGCUAAUACCGCAUACGAUCUACGGAUGAAANCGGGGGAUCGCAAGACCUCGCGCGAUUGGAGCGGCCGAUAUCAGAUUAGGUAGUUGGUGAGGUAAUGGCUCACCAAGGCGACGAUCCGUAACUGGUCUGAGAGGAUGAUCAGUCACACUGGAACUGAGACACGGUCCAGACUCCUACGGGAGGCAGCAGUGGGGAAUAUUGGACAAUGGGCGAAAGCCUGAUCCAGCCAUGCCGCGUGUGUGAAGAAGGUCUUCGGAUUGUAAAGCACUUUAAGUUGGGAGGAAGGGUAGUAACCUAAUACGUUGCUACUUUGACGUUACCGACAGAAUAAGCACCGGCUAACUUCGUG